GGAGGAUUAGCUCAGCUGGGAGAGCAUCUGCCUUACAAGCAGAGGGUCGGCGAUUCGAGCCCGUCAUCCUCCACCA
rnacentral:tRNA from 1 species